UGACCGUGCAAAGGUAGCAUAAUCAAUUGUUCUUUAAAUAAGGACUAGUAUGAAUGGCAUUACGAGGGUUUAACUGUCUCCCUAUUUUAAUCAAUGAAAUUGAUCUUCCCGUGAAGAAGCGGGAAUAUAACUAUAAGACGAAAAGACCCCAUGGAGCUUUAAACUUAUUUUCAAUUACCAAAACCCAAAACAUAUACCUGGUAAAAAUGAUAAUCGUUUUCGGUUGGGGCGACCCUGGAGAAAAAUAAAUCCUCCAAGCUGAAUAGAUUAAAAAUCUAAUGUUAGAGUAACAACUCAAACAAUCAAAAUCUUGACAAAAUGACCCAGAAUUUAUCUGAUCAACGAACCAAGUUACCCUGGGGAUAACAGCGCAAUCCAUUUCAAGAGCCCCUAUCGACAAAUGGGUUUACGACCUCGAUGUUGGAUCGGGAUAUCCUAGCAGCGCAGCCGUUGCUUAAGGUUCGUUUGUUCAACGAUUAAUAAUCCCACGUGAUCU
rnacentral:rRNA from 1 species